rnacentral:rRNA from 1 species
UAGGGAAUCUUCGGCAAUGGACGGAAGUCUGACCGAGCAACGCCGCGUGAGUGAAGAAGGUUUUCGGAUCGUAAAGCUCUGUUGUAAGAGAAGAACGAGUGUGAGAGUGGAAAGUUCACACUGUGACGGUAUCUUACCAGAAAGGGACGGCUAACUACGUGCCAGCAGCCGCGGUAAUACGUAGGUCCCGAGCGUUGUCCGGAUUUAUUGGGCGUAAAGCGAGCGCAGGCGGUUAGAUAAGUCUGAAGUUAAAGGCUGUGGCUUAACCAUAGUAGGCUUUGGAAACUGUCUAACUUGAGUGCAAGAGGGGAGAGUGGAAUUCCAUAUGUAGCGGUGAAAUGCGUAGAUAUAUGGAGGAACACCGGUGGCGAAAGCGGCUCUCUGGCUUGUAACUGACGCUGAGGCUCGAAAGCGUGGGGAGCAAACAGGAUUAGAUACCCUGGUAGUCCACGCUGUAAACGAUGAGUGCUAGGUGUUAGACCCUUUCCGGGGUUUAGUGCCGUAGCUAACGCAUUAAGCACUCCGCCUGGGGAGUACGACCGCAAGGUUG